rnacentral:lncRNA from 1 species
CUUAUUUUGACCAGAUUAUUGAAAUUAUCAUGUGCAUAGUCUUCCUACCUCCCUUCUUUAAAGUAUGUUGCUUCUAAAAUCAACCCACUAAAACACUUUGUUAAUCAGAAUUUGCUCCAUAAAUUAUAAUGGCUGCCUAUUUUUGUUCUGUAGUUAAUGGUGAGCUGCUAAAGUUUUUAGGCAGGUAUAUGACAAUUGCAGACCGGUGUUGUCAGAUUAAUCUGCCCAUCUUUCAUAGGAUGAACGGAAUGGAGAAAGACAGGAGUUUAGGGGAUUAUUAUAGUCCAGGCAAGAAAUUAUAAGGUAUGAGUGACAAAGACAAUAGAAUUGGGAAUGGAAACGAAGCAAUGGAUUUUAGAGAGUGAUAUUAUACUAUUGUGUUUCUGAGAUUAUGAAAAAAUCACAAAAAUGGGAGGUCCUUUAAUAUUUUGAUAUUUUAAAAGAUUAAAUUAUUCACUCAUAAUACUGAUGUUAUAUACUAUAAAUAUCAAUACUGUAGUAUAGCUAUAGCAUUAUAUGGCAUAUGGAGCAAGAAAAAUGUAUUGGACACACUUUUUCCAUGUUUAAAGCCCAAUAGUUAUUUUCCAGUGAUAUACAAGUAGAUUAACCUUAAGAACUAAAGCAACAUCUAGUCUUUAUUCUAUACUUGUGAAUAAACAAAGCUCAACUAAAAAUGCCUCUCAGAGUGCGUGUCUUGGAAUACCCCCCUCUGCUGUCACUCGUCAAAAUUUAAAAGCAGUUGGUGUUACAGGCAGGGAAGAAAUUUUGGGAGGGAGGGAGAAGAAAGAACUUCUGUAUAGACUGAACCACUUUGAUUGAGAGACUUUCUCUUGUCCUCUGGUUCUUCCCCGUCUAUUCCGUGUGUAUGACAGUAGAGUAUUUUCAGAAUAUUUUCAAGUGCACAGCCCUCCCUAAGUGUCACAUCAGGGAAUCUUGAAAAUAAAUUAUAUAUGAUAAGCAGAGUUAUAUAAGUGUGUAGCCAUAAUCAGUUUGCCACAAAUUCCAGGUUGCUCUUGACUUCACAGACGUAUCUUUCUGGUUUCGAGUUUUUCACCAGGCUUAUAAUGAAUUCACUUACAUCUUUAUAUUAUUGACAAACAGGAUCUCUGGUAUUUUCCUCUCAAACACAGCUCAAAACUGCUCUCCUGAAACCCUGACUUAACUAGUGUCACCUUAACUCUAACCACGGAAAUUUACUGCCUGUUCUAGCUACAGAGAGCUCCACAGUCAACAUUAUAUGGAAUCAAAAACUUCCUCCUCCUGUCAGUGUUUCCCCACUUAUCUUGAAGACUGAAGAACAGUUAAUUCUUCUUCACAUGACAGCCAUAUAUAUAUGAUUCAAAACAUCAUAUCUCUUCUGAUUCAUCUUUUCUCCAGUCUAAAUCUUCCCAAAUACUGUACCUUGCCUCAAAGGAUAUUGAGUCCUUGUUUUAGAGUAUACAUAAUAUGCUUUAAAAUUAUUUAUUUUCCUCUUAAAAUAUAAUGCCCAGAAUUAAACGCAAUAUAAUGGAGGUAGUCUGAUUACAAUAGAGCAACUCAUCUGAACUUUUUGAUUACAAAAGAGUACUUUUACAUAAAUUGUCAGUUCAUUCACAUUAAAAAUGUUCUUUGAUUAUUAUUUGACAGUGUAUGGCUAUUCAUAUUUGUAAAGUUCUUCAGAGUAACUUUCAUUUAUUAUUCUUCGCAGCAACCUGCUUGAAGUUCUGUAUUUCUAAGCUGAAGGAAAUGACUAAAGGUCUCAUUUUUACAAAUCACAGAUGAUAUUAAAGCUAAUUAUGCAUAACAUAUCAAAAAAGAAAUAACUACUGCGGUGUAGUUACAUUUUGUGUAGUCCCUUGAUUACUCUAUGGUCCUUAAGACCUUUAAAUCAGGAUAUGUCAUGAAGCUUGAUAAUAAGAUUUUCUAUUUAUGAUGUGUCGUAUAACCACAAAGUAUCUGUGGAUUCACACAUUUUGUGGGACAGAUCAUAGGCUAAUCUUCCAUUGUGUGGAAGGUGUUGACAGUCCAUGAAAUACAAUAUUUCAGAUUCACAGAGCAAACCUGACAGCCUUAUAAGGAUUUAGUUGAUGUUGCUAUAAUGAUAAAGGAGAUUAUUUCUUUGGUUUCUCAUGUGAUGCUUCUUUUAUUACAGCACAGUCCUACAUUGCAUUUACUUUUUCUUCCACAAAAUGUUGCUCAGCUAAAAGAGUGGUUGACUGUUUAAGAUAUCACAAAACUAAGGAAUAAAAGGUCUUUAAUCAAAUAUAGCCAAAGAGAGACUAAGUCGACUAAGUCUAUAGUGACACUCAAUACAUAGAGAAUAAACCUACAGAAAAUGUCCUAAUACUCCAAGGAACCAGGCUGAUACAAAUACAAAGUUAAAUUCUAAGCCAUCUCCUGGCAAAAUUAAGCUUUUAAGAUAGACUAGGCUUGUUUAUUUUCAUUCUUGCCACACACUGCAUUCUGUUGCCGUGGUUUCUGUUCCAUAUUGUUUCACUGUCUUACAUCUAUGGAUCAAUCAUUCUUUCUAGAUAUUUUUGGGUUUUUUUUAAUAUUAUAAUAGCCAAAUGCCCUUGUGGGAUGGGGGAAAAGGAAAAGAGGAGGAAAAAACCAGAUAUGAUACUCAGUGGGACUAUUAUAAGACCUCAUUAGUCAGCUCCUCUAUUUCUCUCUCUUAAGGAUGUCUUUAUAUUGACC